UGCCAGUUAGCUCAGUUGGGUAGAGUGUGGUGCUAAUAACGUCAAGGUCACGGGUUCGAUCCCCGUAUGGGCCA